rnacentral:rRNA from 1 species
AUUGAACGCUGGCGGAAUGCUUUACACAUGCAAGUCGAACGGUAGAGGGGGCAACCCCUCGAGAGUGGCGAACGGGUGAGUAAUAUAUCGGAACGUGCCCAGUCGUGGGGGAUAACGUAGCGAAAGUUACGCUAAUACCGCAUACGAUCUAAGGAUGAAAGCGGGGGAUCGCAAGACCUCGCGCGAUUGGAGCGGCCGAUAUCAGAUAGGUAGUUGGUGGGGUAAAGGCUCACCAAGCCAACGAUCUGUAGCUGGUCUGAGAGGACGACUAGCCACACUGGAACUGAGACACGGUCCAGACUCCUACGGGAGGCAGCAGUGGGGAAUUUUGGACAAUGGACGCAAGUCUGAUCCAGCCAUUCCGCGUGCAGGAUGAAGGCCCUCGGGUUGUAAACUGCUUUUGUACGGAACGAAAAGGUCUCUCUUAAUACGGGGGACUCAUGACGGUACCGUAAGAAUAAGCACCGGCUAACUACGUGCCAGCAGCCGCCGUAA